UAGGCAUUGUUUAAAGGCCAUUCCUCAAAUUCCGUGUUUACUGUCAGCAGGAGGAAAAGAAAAAUGCUCAUUUUCAACUGCAAGGAGGAGUAGAUCAGCAGUGAAAUCCAACCCCCAAAUACCUCCAGCUAGUGAGGGACUGGGAGCUGACAAGAUGGGAUGAAGCCAAAAGAAAACAAGGAUAUUAAGUUCCCUGAUACUUUUGGCCAUCACUUCUGUUCCUGGCAGUUACCUGUGGCUGCUUUAAAUGCCACUGGAUGCGAGGGGAUGUUUACAUUUCCCCAGUUACAUUGUCUUUGAACGGUUCUAAACUUGACUUUGAUUAAACACACUAAUAACAAGAGGCUCCUUUUCUUUUUUUUUUUUUCCCUUUUUUAUUUUUUUAUGAAUGUCACUUGCUUGAGUUGAAAAGACAUGCUCUUAAUACUCGCUUUUCAUCUAAAUCAAGAAAGCAACACUAAGCAAAAAAGUAUUUAACUGUAGCAUAUAGGAUUGUAAAGAUGGUAAUCAGGGACACUGGUAAUUGAAGCUUUUGGGGGAGAACCUUUCUUCUGAAUCCUUCAGUCUGUUUAAUAGGAUAAAAUUAGCUUGAGUGGCUUGGUGUUUGAAGAGGUUAUGAUAUAAUUGGAGCUGCCUCCUGGGUUUGCUGCUGGACAAGGCGAUCAGGUGGAGACAUGGGAGGGCAUGGGAACCUCUGAAGUAGAAGACUCAGCUUCUGCCAUACUAAUUAGCCUAAAUUAGCUAUGCCAGUUUUCUGCUUGCUUUUGAAUUUCCCUGAUAAUGCUUUUAUCGGGAGCGUAAGAAAGGGAAUAUGAAAACACGCGCAAAGUUCACCGCGGAAUGGCAGAGGCGCUGGCAACCGCCGACGUAAGGCUCAGGCUUUAUUGCUGCAAGCUUCAAAAAAGGGAAAAAAAGAAAAAAAAAAAAACAGGGGAAAAAAAAAAAGGAAAAAAAGGUUGAAUAGCAUUAGGAAAUAACAAAUGGAUAUCAAGUACAACCCCUAGGGAUUUAGAAAGUACUAUGGCUUGCGCUCUCGAACACGGAAGUUUACAAAACAUCUGUAAGAAAUUGAUUAUCUUGAGGAUUAUACACACAUUAUUUUGAGGCCAGCCUCCUCCCCCCAAACCCCAGCUUUGCUCUUGAGUGUUUAACCCAAGGUGAAGGAGGCGGUUCUCCUCCAGGCAGAAGCAGCUCCAGCACCUCCUCUUGUGCUCCAUCAUCCUCAAGGCCCGGGAGAGGCUGCUUGUGUUUUGUGAGCUGCUGCCAUUUUUUAAUUUUCACUUCCGACCCCAAUUAAUCA
rnacentral:lncRNA from 1 species